rnacentral:rRNA from 1 species
CCCUUAGAUGUUCUGGGCCGCACGCGCGCUACACUGAUGCAUUCAACGAGUCCAACCUUGACCGAGAGGUCCGGGUAAUCUUUGAAACUGCGUCGUGAUGGGGCUAGAUUAUUGCAAUUAUUAAUCUUCAACGAGGAAUGCCUAGUAAGCGUGAUUCAUCAAAUCGCGUUGAUUACGUCCCUGCCCUUUGUACACACCGCCCGUCGCUCCUACCGAUUGAGUGUGUUGGUGAGGAGUUUGGAUUGGCCUCGGAAGGUGGUUCGCCACCGUCCGUAGCUGAGAAGUUCUCCAAACCGCCCCACUUAGAGGAAGGAGAAGUCGUAACA